GUCGUGGGGAUCGUACGGGUGCUUCUGUUCGUCCGUUAUUCUCACGUUAAAAUAGCUUAGUGAUGAACGUGUUUUACGACUGAAGUAUUCAUUAUUUUCAUUAUUUACAUGCUUUCUUUUUUUUCGAUUCUACAAUUUUCUGUUCCGAUGUGAAGAUUUAUGGUCAGGACUAAUGCAAAUAUGUAGUAUCGACAUCAAAUUGCACCCGUCCCGGCCUGAUUGAGUGCGCAUAAAUCAACAGAAGAAGAAUCAAAGGUGUGGUCUUUAUGUUCGUAAUUUCCUGCACUUCCCACAACUUAUAUAAUAUUAUAUGUUUAAAUGUAUCGUAUAUAAAUCUAUAAAAUUGUAUGUAAAUUACAAGUUUUUAUGUAAAUUUUCUUUGUAAAAAUAUUUAAUUUUUUCUAAAGUUAAAUUGUAUUAAAUAAGUUAAAUAAUUUAAUCUUUUGUAUUUUUAUGAUUAAAAGGAAUAAGUUUUAUGUUUAUAAUCAUAUGUUUACGAAAAAUUUACGGAAAUUGUGUAAUGCGAUUACGAAUUGUAUGCUUGUAAUACUACUACGAAACUGGAUUGGCUUGUCCGAAUACUGGUUCUUCCCCCAUUCAAUCGCGCGAGUCUUUAUGGACGGUAAA